rnacentral:rRNA from 1 species
UACAGAGGGUGCGAGCGUUAAUCGGAAUGACUGGGCGUAAAGGGCGCGUAGGUGGCUAGUUAAGUGGGAUGUGAAAUCCCUGGGCUUAACCUAGGAACUGCAUUUCAUACUGAUUAGCUGGAGUAGGGGAGAGGGUAGUGGAAUUUCAGGUGUAGCGGUGAAAUGCGUAGAUAUCUGAAGGAACACCAGUGGCGAAGGCGACUGCCUGGCCUCAUACUGACACUGAGGCGCGAAAGCGUGGGGAGCAAACAGG